rnacentral:rRNA from 1 species
GAUGAACGCUGGCGGCGUGCCUAAUACAUGCAAGUCGAGCGAAUGGAUUAAGAGCUUGCUCUUAUGAAGUUAGCGGCGGACGGGUGAGUAACACGUGGGUAACCUGCCCAUAAGACUGGGAUAACUCCGGGAAACCGGGGCUAAUACCGGAUAACAUUUUGAACCGCAUGGUUCGAAAUUGAAAGGCGGCUUCGGCUGUCACUUAUGGAGGGACCCGCGUCGCAUUAGCUAGUUGGUGAGGUAACGGCUCACCAAGGCAACGAUGCGUAGCCGACCUGAGAGGGUGAUCGGCCACACUGGGACUGAGACACGGCCCAGACUCCUACGGGAGGCAGCAGUAGGGAAUCUUCCGCAAUGGACGAAAGUCUGACGGAGCAACGCCGCGUGAGUGAUGAAGGCUUUCGGGUCGUAAAACUCCGUUGUUGGGGAAGAACAAGUGCUAGUUGAAUAAGCUGGCACCUUGACGGUACCUAACCAGAAAGUCACGGCUAACUACGUGCCAGCCGCCGCAGUAA